rnacentral:misc_RNA from 1 species
GAUGAAGAACGUAGCAAAAUGCGAUAAGUAAUGUGAAUUGCAGAAUUCAGUGAAUCAUCGAAUCUUUGAACGCACAUUGCGCCCGCUGGUAUUCCGGCGGGCAUGCCUGUUCGAGCGUCAUUUCAACCCUCAAGCCCCCCGGGUUUGGUGUUGGGGAUCGGCUCUGCCUCACGGCGGUGCCGCCCCCGAAAUACAUUGGCGGUCUCGCUGCAGCCUCCAUUGCGUAGUAGCUAACACCUCGCAACUGGAACGCGGCGCGGCCAUGCCGUAAAACCCCAACUUCUGAAUGUUGACCUCGGAUCAGGUAGGAAUACCCGCUGAACUUAAGCAUAUCAAUAGCGGAGGA